rnacentral:rRNA from 1 species
UACGUAGGGGGCGAGCGUUGCACGAGUUUACGGGGCGUAAAGCGCACGUAGGCGGCUUCGUAAGUCUGGUGUGAAAUCUCACGGCUCAACCGGGAGGCUGCACCAGAUACUGCGGAGCUCGAGGACGGGAGAGGAGAUCGGAAUUCCCGGUGUAGCGGUGAAAUGCAUUGAUAUCGGGAGGAACACCAGUGGCGAAGGCGGAUCUCUGGCCCGUUACUGACGCUGAGGUGCGAAAGCUGGGGGAGCGAAAGGG